GCAUCCUGGGAGUCGUUCGGAUUGGUUUGUUACCGGUGGUUGGCUCUCUGCUUUUGCAACAACUUCCACCUGGCAUUCCUCUUCAUUUAUGCGUCAAGGUUGCAUUUCCUUGAGCGCUUAUGGUUUCCUGUGUUGCCUACCUACGUGACGGUAUUGUUGAUUACAUCGAAGUUGUGUUUCAUCAUGUGUCAUUUGUAUGGCGUAGGAUGAACCUCAAAGCAGCUUCUAUGAUCCACCUUGUCGAUGCACAUGGAUUGACGUUGUGGCUCAUUGAGUUUUGCUUGGUUUUCUGGAUACAGAACAUGAUAUGGGUGUGGGUCUUCCAGAUCCUUGUUUUGCCCUUGUUGAACGUUGUUAUUACUCGAGAUGACUACUUAUCCCGAAUUGGCUCGUACCACCGGGGUAGGUUGUGUUGUUGAAGAGCAAUAAUGGCGUUCUUGCUUCUCUAAAACAGACAGCCUCGCCUUGAUUGGCUCGUACCAGCGGGUGGGCUAUGUCGAAGAGGGAUGCUACCUGGUUGAUCCUGCCAGUAGUCAUAUGCUUGUCUCAA
rnacentral:misc_RNA from 1 species